rnacentral:rRNA from 3 species
GAUCUAGCCAUGGGCAGGUUGAAGGUUGGGUAACACUAACUGGAGGACCGAACCGACUAAUGUUGAAAAAUUAGCGGAUGACCUGUGGCUGGGGGUGAAAGGCCAAUCAAACCGGGAGAUAGCUGGUUCUCCCCGAAAGCUAUUUAGGUAGCGCCUCGUGAAUUCAUCUCCGGGGGUAGAGCACUGUUUCGGCUAGGGGGCCAUCCCGGCUUACCAACCCGAUGCAAACUGCGAAUACCGGAGAAUGUUAUCACGGGAGACACACGGCGGGUGCUAACGUCCGUCGUGAAGAGGGAAACAACCCAGACCGCCAGCUAAGGUCCCAAAGUCAUGGUUAAGUGGGAAACGAUGUGGGAAGGCCCAGACAGCCAGGAUGUUGGCUUAGAAGCAGCCAUCAUUUAAAGAAAGCGUAAUAGCUCACUGGUCGAGUCGGCCUGCGCGGAAGAUGUAACGGGGCUAAACCAUGCACCGAAGCUGCGGCAGCGACACUGUGUGUUGUUGGGUAGGGGAGCGUUCUGUAAGCCUGUGAAGGUGUGUCGUGAGGC